AACUUUUGGCAACGGAUCACUUGGCUCUCGCAUCGAUGAAGAACGCAGCGAAAUGCGAUAAGUAAUGAGAAUUGCAGAUUUUCAGUUAAUCAUCGAAUCUUUGAACGCCCCUUUCGCUCCUUGGUAUUCCGAGGAGCAUGCCUGUGUGAGUGUCAUUAAAUCCUCAACCCCUUGGUUUUGACCUCGGGGCUUGGACUUGGGGCGUGCUGGCGUGAGUCGGCUCCUCUCAAAUGGAUCGGCGGAAUUCAAAUCUUGGAUGUCAGUGUGAUAAUCAUGUUGCGCUGUCGUUUGAGCUGUAAGGUCCGCUUACAAUGGUCUUCGGACAACUUCAUUUAAAUUUGACCUCAAAUCAGGUAGGACUACCCGCUGAACUUAAGCAUAUCAAUAAGCGGAGGCU
rnacentral:misc_RNA from 1 species